CUGAAGGAGUGGUUGGGCAGGUUCUGAAGGAGUGGUUGGGCAGGUUCUAAAGGAGUGGUUGGGCAGGUUCUAAAGGAGUAGUUGGGCAGGUUCUAAAGGGAUGGUUGGGCAGGUUCUAAAGGAGUAGUUGGGCAGGUUCUAAAGGAGUGGUUGGGCAGGUUCUAAAGGAGUGGUUGGGCAGGUUCUGAAGGAGUGGUUGGGCAGGUUCUGAAGGAGUGGUUGGGCAGGUUCUGAAGGAGUGGUUGGUGGCUCUAUCCACGUUGCACUUAAUUCCUUGGUCUCUCUUGGGUAUAUUCAGAGCUCCUGCAGAAGGUGAGUGUGUUUUCGGGCUGCAACACAACCUAGGGAACCACACUUGCUGCAGUCUUUGGGCUGGUUUGCAUUGAAGAUAUGGCCCCUACAAUGUCCUAAUUGGAUAAUUGAUGGCAUGUGCUGCAAUCUUCCGAAAUCUUUUCAUGUGACUGAAGAGGCUUCUUCUCUCUCUUUUCAAACCCUUCACUCUGCAUUGUACAAUCUAAAAUACACACACAUACACAAGGGAUCUGUAGACUCGGAGGUAAAUACAUCUCUCAACGUGUAUCCAUUGUUUCCAUAGUUCUUACCACAAUCAGGUUGCAUUGACCUGUUCUGAACCAACUGUCCCUGGGACAUCAACUAGUCAAAAUACAAAACCUAUUGUUUAACAAAUACAAUAGGGCCUUCAAAAAGAUUGAUCUACUUUUUAUCUGUGGGUAUUGCUGUAUUAAAGAUGUUGUCUCCCCUGAGGGGCGUCCCUAUUGUGGCUGGUUAAUUUAAUUUAAUUAUUGACGAAGCCUCUGAUUUAACACGGCGAUGAUAUUUUGCUGUUUCAAAAGCAUAGAAAAUGCACCAGUCUUUGUCUGAGGCUUUAUUUCCCAGACCCUUUAGACAGUCAUAUGCAUCAGAAAACUUGGUAGUGGCCAUUCCAUCAGUCCUCUUGGUUAUGAGGGCCCAGCAGGGCGCGCCUUCUCCGAUUUACCAUCUACAGCUGAAGUUGGAAGUUUACAUACACCUUAGCCAAAUACAUUUAAACUCAGUAUUUCAGAAUUACUGACAUUUAAUCCUAGUAAGAAUUCCCUGUCCUAAAUCAGUUAGAAUCACCACUUUAUUUUAAGAAUGUGAAAUGUCAGAACAAUAGUUAAGAGUGAUUUAUUUCAGCUUUUUUUUCUUUCAUCACAUUCCCAGUGGGUCAGAAGUUUACAUACACUCAAUUAGUGUUUGGUAGCAUUGCCUUUAAAUUGUUUAACUUGGGUCAAACGUUUCGGGUAGCCUUUCACAAGCUUCCCACAAUAAGUUGGGUGAAUUUUGGCCCAUUCCUCCUGACAGAGCUGGUGUAACUGAGUCAGGUUUGUAGGCCUCCUUGCUUGCACACACUUUUUCAGUUCUGCCCACCAAUUUUCUACAGGAUUAAGAUCAGGGCUUUGUGAUGGCCACUCCAAUACCUUGACUUUGUUUUCCUUAAGCUAUUUUGCCACAACUUUGGAAGUAUGCUUGGGGUCAUUGUCCAUUUGGUAGACCCAUUUGCAACCAAGCUUUAACUUCCUGACUGAUGUCUUGAGAUGUUGCUUCAAUAUAUCCACAUAAUUUACCUCUUCAUGAUGCCAUCUAUUUUGUGAAGUGCACCAGUCCCUCCUGCAGCAAAGCACCCCGACAACAUGAUGCUGCCUCCCCCGUGCUUCACGGUUGGGAUGGUUUUCUUCAGAUUGCAAGCCUCCCCCUUUUUCCUCCAAACAUAACGAUGGUCCUUAUGGUCAAACAGUUCUAUUUUUGUAUCAUCAGACCAGACGACAUUUCUCCAAAAAGUACGAUCUUUGUCCCCAUGAGCAGUUGCAAACCGUAGUCUGGCUUUUUUAUGGCGGUCAUGUCGACAUAGGACUCGUUUUACUGUGGGUGAAGAUACUUUUCUACCUGUUUCCUCCAACAUCUUCACAAGGUCCUUUGCUGUUGUUCUGGGAUUGAUUUGCAUUUUUCUAACCAAAGUACGUCCAUCUCUAGGAGACAGAACGCGUCUCCUUCCUGAGCGGCAUGACGGCUGUGUGAUCCCAUGGUGUUUAUACUUGCGUACUAUUGUUUGUACAGAUGAACGUUGCACCUUCAACAAAGGGUAUAUAACAAAGUAUUGAGAUAAACUUUUGUUAUUGACCAAAUACUU